rnacentral:rRNA from 1 species
GACGAACGCUGGUGGCGUGCUUAACACAUGCAAGUCGAACGGAAAGGCCCUGCUUUUGUGGGGUGCUCGAGUGGCGAACGGGUGAGUAACACGUGAGUAACCUGCCCUUGACUUUGGGAUAACUUCAGGAAACUGGGGCUAAUACCGGAUAGGAGCUCCUGCUGCAUGGUGGGGGUUGGAAAGUUUUGGCGGUUGGGGAUGGACUCGCGGCUUAUCAGCUUGUUGGUGGGGUAGUGGCUUACCAAGGCUUUGACGGGUAGCCGGCCUGAGAGGGUGACCGGCCACAUUGGGACUGAGAUACGGCCCAGACUCCUACGGGAGGCAGCAGUGGGGAAUAUUGCACAAUGGGCGGAAGCCUGAUGCAGCAACGCCGCGUGCGGGAUGACGGCCUUCGGGUUGUAAACCGCUUUCGCCUGUGACGAAGCGUGAGUGACGGUAAUGGGUAAAGAAGCACCGGCUAACUACGUG